rnacentral:rRNA from 1 species
GAUGAACGCUGGCGGCGUGCCUAACACAUGCAAGUCGAGCGGACGGACGAGAAGCUUGCUUCUUUGAUGUUAGCGGCGGACGUGUGAGUAACACGUGGAUAACCUACCUAUAAGACUGGGAUAACUUGGGGAAACCGGAGCUAAUACCGGAUGAUAUUCUGAACCGCAUGGUUCAAAAGUGAAAGACGGUCUUGCUGUCACGUCUAGAUGGAUACGCGCUGGAUUGGCGAGUUGUGAAGGAAACGGCUUACCACGGCAACGAUGCAUAGCCGACGGGCGAGGGUGGUCGGCCACACUGGAGCGGGAACACGCACCAGAGUCCUGCGGGAGGGAGCAGUAGGGAAUCUUCGGCAAUGGGCGAGAGCCUGGCGGAGCGGCGGCGCGUGAGUGAUGAAAGUCUUGGGAUCGUAAAACUCUGUUAUUAGGUGAGAACAUAUGUGGAAGGAACUGAGCACAUCUUGACGGUACCGAAUCAGAAAGCCACGGCUAACUACGUG